rnacentral:rRNA from 1 species
CCUACGGGUGGCUGCAGUGAGGAAUAUUGGUCAAUGGCCGAGAGGCUGAACCAGCCAAGUCGCGUGAGGGAUGACGGCCCUACGGUUUGUAAACCUCUUUUGUCGGGGAGCAAAGAGAGUCACGUGUGGCUCAUUGAGAGUACCCGAAGAAAAAGGAUCGGCUAACUCCGUGCCAGCAGCCGCGGUAAUACGGGGGAUGCGAGCGUUAUCCGGUUUUAUUGGGUUUAAGGGGUGCGCAGGCGGAGGUGCAAGUCAGUGGUCAAAUUGCGGGGCUCAACCCCGUACUGCCGUGGAAACUGGAUCCCUUGAGUGCGCGAGAGGUAAGCGGAAUGCGAGGUGUAGCGGUGAAAUGCAUAGAUAUAACGCAGAACUCCGAUGGCGAAGGCAGCAUACCGGCGCGCAACUGACGCUCAUGCACGAAAGCGUGGGUAGCGAACAGGAUUAGAUACCCUAGUAGUC